UACGUAGGGCGCAAGCGUUGUCCGGAAUUAUUGGGCGUAAAGAGCUCGUAGGCGGUCUGUCGCGUCGGCUGUGAAAACCCGGGGCUCAACCCCGGGCCUGCAGUCGAUACGGGCAGACUAGAGUGCGGUAGGGGAGACUGGAAUUCCUGGUGUAGCGGUGGAAUGCGCAGAUAUCAGGAGGAACACCGGUGGCGAAGGCGGGUCUCUGGGCCGUAACUGACGCUGAGGAGCGAAAGCGUGGGGAGCGAACAGG
rnacentral:rRNA from 1 species